CAGUCGCCACGGUAAUACGGAGGGUGCAAGCGUUAAUCGGAGUUACUGGGCGUAAAGCGCACGCAGGCGGUUUGUUAAGUCAGAUGUGAAAUCCCCGAGCUUAACUUGGGAACUGCAUUUGAAACUGCAAGCUAGAGUCUUGUAGAGGGGGGUGGAAUUCCAGGUGUAGCGGUGAAAUGCGUAGAGAUCUGGAGGAAUACCGGUGGCGAAGGCGGCCCCCUGGACAAAGACUGACGCUCAGGUGCGAAAGCGUGGGGAGCAAACAGGAUUAGAGACCCCUGUAGUCCCUGUCUCUUAUACA
rnacentral:rRNA from 1 species